rnacentral:rRNA from 1 species
UACAGAGGUCCCAAGCGUUGUUCGGAUUCAUUGGGCGUAAAGGGUGCGUAGGCGGCGCGGUAAGUCGGGUGUGAAAUCUCGGAGCUUAACUCCGAAAUUGCAUUCGAUACUGCCGUGCUUGAGGACUGGAGAGGAGACUGGAAUUUACGGUGUAGCGGUGAAAUGCGUAGAUAUCGUAAGGAAGACCAGUGGCGAAGGCGGGUCUCUGGACAGUUCCUGACGCUGAGGCACGAAGGCCAGGGGAGCAAACGGG